CCUACGGGAGGCAGCAGUGAGGAAUAUUGGUCAAUGGCCGGAAGGCUGAACCAGCCAUGCCGCGUGAAGGCCAGCGUCCUACGGGCGUUAAACUUCUUUUGUUCGGGAGCAAUAAUGUUCACGUGUGGCCAUACUACAGUACCCUUCUAAUUAGCACCGGCCAACUCCGUGCCAGUAGCCGCGGUAUCACGGAGGGUUCGAGCGUUAUCCGGAUUUAUUGGGUUUAAAGGGAGCGUAGAUGGGUUGUUAAGUCAGUGGUGAAAGUUUUCGGCUCAACCGUAAAAUUGCAAUUGAUACUGGCAGUCUUGAGUACAGUUGAGGUAGGCGGAAUUCGUGGUGUAGCGGUGAAAUGCUUAGAUAUCACGAAGAACUCCGAUUGCGAAGGCAGCUUACUAAACUGCAACUGACAUUGAUGCUCGAAAGUGUGGGUAUCAAACAGGAUUAGAUACCCUUGUAGUC
rnacentral:rRNA from 1 species